AUCUUUUUAUACAUUUAUUUUCCUGGCUAAUCAUGGCAGCGUCACUUAGGAAAAAGACCAAUGUAAAGAGAGACUAAGUGUAUAAGAGGUCUCUCCUCCCUUCAGACAACAAUCUUUUUUCCCGUACUCACCCAGACAGACAGAAACUUUUCCUAAUUAUUUUUUUUUUUUUGGCAACCUUCCCAUGUGUACCUCUCUGAGUCUGUUCACAUACUUGUUCCAUCUGCACUGUGAAUGUUUACAUGGUGUGUUCAAUAAAAACAUGGCAACAUUUCAUUCUUUGUGUGUUAUUAGUUUAAGCAGACUGUGAUUGUCUAUUGUUGUGACUUAGAUGAUGAUCAGAUCACAUUUUAUGACCAAUUUGUGCAGAAAUCCAUAUCAUUCCAAAGGGUUCACAUACUUUUUCUUGAAACUGUCUAUGGCCUCCUUUCUCUAGUACUAAUUUCCCCUUUUCACAUAUUAUUGUAUCCCGUUUGUGCCAUUUCUUCUCCCCCCCUCGCUGAUUCUGCUACUCUGAAUGAUUACCUUAUCUGUCUGAGAUUCAUCAACUUUCGUGGCUCUUUCACUGUCUGUGGUAUAAAAUCCUAUAUUUAAUUUGUAACCGUGCGAUUCAAUGCUUAAGUCAAAUGGCGGCCCUUCAAGUGCUGCACUCAGUGAAUAUGCCGCCUCUUAAUACCCCCUGCAGGAAACAUGGCGUGAAUCGCUCUGCGUUCUACUGAUCGUUCGACACAUGCAUGGCUCUUCCAAAG